UACGGGGGGGGUAAGCGUUGUUCGGAAUUACUGGGCGUAAAGGGCUCGCAGGCGGCCAACUAAGUCGGACGUGAAAUCCCUCAGCUUAACUGGGGAACUGCGUCCGAUACUGGAUGGCUUGGAUUUGGGAGAGGGAUGCGGAAUUCCAGGUGUAGCGGUGAAAUGCGUAGAGAUCAGGAAGAACAUCGGUGGCGAAGGCGCUCUGCUGGACCAUAACUGACACUCAGGGACGAAAGCUAGGGGAGCGAAUGGG
rnacentral:rRNA from 1 species